rnacentral:rRNA from 1 species
AAUAGAUACCCUGGUAGUCCACGCUGUAAACGGUGGGUACUAGGUGUGGGGUCCAUUCCACGGGGUUCCGUGCCGUAGCUAACGCUUUAAGUACCCCGCCUGGGGAGUACGGCCCCAAGGCUAAAACUCAAAGGAAUUGACGGGGCCCCGCACAAGCGGCGGAGCAUGCGGAUUAAUUCGAUGCAACGCGUAGAACCUUACCUGGGUUUGACAUGGAUCGGGAGCGCUCAGAGGUGGGUGUGCCUCUUUUGGGGUCGGUUCACAGGUGGUGCAUGGCUGUCGUCAGCUCGUGUCGUGAGAUGUUAGGUUAAGUCCCGCAACGAGCGCAACCCUUGUUCACUGUUGCCAGCACGUUAUGGUGGGGACUCAGUGGAGACCGCCGGGGUCAACUCGGAGGAAGGUGGGGAUGACGUCAAGUCAUCAUGCCCCUUAUGUCCAGGGCUUCACGCAUGCUACAAUGGCUGGUACAGAGAGUGGCGAGCCUGUGAGGGUGAGCGAAUCUCGGAAAGCCGGUCUCAGUUCGGAGUUGGGGU